UCUUAAAUUGUUUUUAAUUUCAUUUUUUUUCUUUUGCUUUGCUUUGUUGUUCUGUACAGCAUCUAGUGUGUUUUGAUAUGCUGUUAGUUAUACUAUUAGAUGAAAAAAAAAUCAGUAUUUAAAUGUGAUUUGAAUUUUUCCUAAGGUCAAGCUGUAGGUCAAGACUGGAUGCCAGUCCAUGAACUUUCUCUUAAUUUUGUCUACUCAAGGCAUUUGAAAAAGCUGUAGGUCACGACUGGAUGCCAGUCCAUGAACUUUCUCUUAAUUUUGUCUACUCAAGGCAUUUGAAAAACAAGUUCUUGGGGUUCCUGGGUGGCUCAGUUGGUUUAGUCCCUACUUUCAGCUUAGGUCAUGACCCUGGGGUCCCGGGAUCGAGCCCCAUGUCAGGCUCCCUGCUCAGUGGGGAGUCUGCUCUCUCUCUCUCUCUCUCUCAAGUAGAUAAAUAAAAUCUUUCAAAAAAAAAAGAAAAGAAAAAUAUAUUCUUUUAGAUACUGAGGAAGUGGGGUACAAAAGUAGUGGUUUGAUAUGAACCCAUCUCUGUCCCAGGAGAAAAAUAACAAAAAUUGAAUGCUUGGUUACUAAGGUAUCAGUGGUGUUAUUCCUGCAUGUCGGAGAUGGUUCAUCCAUUUACACUUUUGUUGGUCCCACAGCUCAGCCUCUGUGAUCACCAACACAUCAUUCUCCCCUCCUAAUAGAACUCAGUAGUCUGGGUGCUCAAUUAAUCCUUGGCUGCUUGGGGGAGUUGCCAAUGAGUGGAAUUUCUGCCAAUGAUCUGUAACACCCUUUUCAACAAACAUUAAUUGAAUGACAUUUCUUUUUUCCUCAAACCAUCCAUCUGUCCUUUCUUAUGCAACAUUUGAGUUUUAAAAGGGUAGAAGGCAAGCUUUCUUUUGGUCACACGUUUGACUUAAGAAGAUAAUCUCUGAAUUAAAAAAUAUGACCUACUACAGCCUUUUAAAUAAGUCUAGAAGAUUCACCAGCCUGAAGCAACAUGUUAAAUAUAAAACUCAUUAGAUCCAGCCUUCUUUUUCUGUUUGCUCAUUAAAACUUCCUGCUCCCAUGAAGGAAGUUGGUAAAUGGCUCAAUUCAAUGUUGCUAUGAUCAUUUGGGGGUACAAGUGGGAAUGGGACAGGUAAGAAGAAAAACAGUGAGGAAUUUUUUAAAAACUAGUCAUUUAAUUUGCAGGUAAACAAAUCUAGGACCCAGUUUUCUUGCGUUUUAUGUUAACUUUCGAUUGUUUUAAAAUAUCAAAAAGUAUCUCACCUAUAAGAGUGCUGUUAAGUAAAGCAGAGGACAUACAUCAACUUGUCUGUGUGGUCAUGUUGCUUGGAUAUUAAAAUGAGCUUUUUAAAAAACGGGACUAGAAUCUAUUUCCCAACAAGUUGAAAGGUUUCUAUAAUUACACUAAUAAUUUUGGGGUAUCAUAUUAAUGAGGAUAGGGAGAUGUAGACCUUGACAUUGGCAUGUUUAGUUACAUUCACUAUGAAAAAAUGUUGUUUACCCCUCGAGAAUUUCUUAAGAAAAAGAAAAAUCAAUCUCCAUCAAUGAGCAAUAUUUUUCUCCCCAAGGGAUAUUGAUUUGAACAUUGACUUCACAAUGGGUGAGUUAUUUCCCUCAGACCCCCUGUUAUGAAUUGUUAGGUGACAUGUCUUUUAUGAGCCAAUAAACCUGCUGUUUCUAGUAUAGUAAUCUUGUCGGGGAGAUUCCAACUUCUGAGUUGUGACUGGUUUGGAAUAUUUCGGCUUUUGUGUGUUUGCGAUAAGUAUUUCUAUGGGAUGUAGUCCAAGUUUAAAAAGCAAUAUCUCUCAUCUUUCUUCCUUUUUUAAAUGGAAUAUAGCUUUUUUCGAUCAUUCUGAGGGAAAAUCAGGUGUCAGUGAAUAAUUCUCUUUUUUGCUUGCUCCUCAACUGCAUGUCCUCUCAGCUUGUGCAUAGCCCCGUGACUCAUGUGUAGUCAUAGAAAUGUCUUCACGAUUCCUUUUUCUCUCUUUAUGUAAUGGUACAAUAUUGGUAUGUUUAAUUUUGAAAAUAAACCAGAUUCUCAAUUUACCAGAGAAACCAGUAUGUAGAGGAACAUUGUGGUGAAUGGAAGCAGGGGAAAGGAUAGGUGGGGUCAAAUUUUUGUUAACAUGAACGCUCAUUCUUCAAUUUAUCUGUUAGGAUUUGUGUAUAAUGUAUUUUCUUAAUGAGCUUCUUAAAAGGUGAAUUUAGAAUUUAUAUUAGAUCGCCUUUGAGUUUAUUCAUCCAUCCAUUUAUUCUUGAACAAAUAUUAAUUUACACCCGUAUCAUGUGCCAGACACCGUGCUCUGCAUUGACAAUAAUGAUAAGUAAGACCCAUCUGAGGCAGUCACAGUGUGGUUGAGAAGACAUUAGGUCUGAUAGUUAUGAAUACAUGUUGACACAAAAUACUUUAGGAGCCUCUAGACUUAGCUUCAUGGAAGCUGGGAGUAUCAAGGAAGCCUUCAGGGAGAAGGUGAGCAUAAGCCUAGUUAAUUAAUCAGGCCACGGGCUUAGGAGAGGAACAGAAGUGCGGGUCCCUGUUGCAUAGUGAGAGAAAUCUUAAGCAAAUCACUGUACCUCUCUGAGCCUUAGUUUCCUUGUCUGCCAACUGGGCAUAAUCACACUUGCCUAAUGAGAUUGUUGUAGAGAUUAAAUGAGAAUGCAUGGAAAGGCCUCAAUACUGUGUACAAAGUAGGCACUCCAUAAACGUUUGCUGCAGAGGUAUAGUAAAGUGACAUUAUAGCACACCCUAAUAUCAAUCCAACAAAUAUUUAUUGGGCACUGACCCGGUGUCAUGUCCUGGAUGAGACACCAACAGCGUCAGGAGACACCAUGAGGAUGGAGUGAGGGAUAGGAAUGACAGGCAGCUCGUGUAGGGAUGGGGGAGACACACUGCUUCUGUGCUUGGCAAGCCAGAGGAGGUCUCUUACUGUGGAGUUCAGAGUGCCAGAGGAGGCCUGGUGGAUGAAGAGGCAGCCAAAGUUUGUCCUGCUAGACCAGGAAGGGCCUGAUGUAGCCAUGAUGGCCUCAACACAGGAAAGAGACAAGCAGAACUUGUUCAUUUGUGAUUUCUCAGUUUCCUUUAGGUUUUCCAUGGGUAGUCAUUGCCCUUCUGUAGCUAGAUUACAAUUUCUUAGGAAACCCCCACCCCCCAAGAUUCUCACCUGUUUGCUGUUGCCAGUUAUAAUGUGGUGCCUCUGGUAUAUGCCCAACAAACAUGGCUAGAUCUUUAUACUUGCCUCUUCUCCACAUGCUGAAAUAUUCCAGUUGGUUCUUACGCCCAGUCAGUUUCAGAAUGCUCAGAUUUAAAGGCUUGCUUUUGUGCUUAUUAAAGAGAUUCAUGAAUUGGGAAUUGUGAUCAUGUCACUGCCUAAAACUCUUCAUAUUGCUCUUAGGAUAAAGUCCAAAAUCCUGAAUGUGCCUGACAAGACUUUGCAUAAUCUGGCUCCUGUCCUGGGCUCCUGCCUCAUCUCCUGGAACUGCCCAUCCUCCCAGAAUCUUUUGAUCUUUUAGUGCCACUAACGCCCUUAUACGUAUGUUGCUGCUGUGUGUGCAAGCUCUCCCCAAACCGCUCCUCCAGACGAGCUCCUUUCUUUCGGGUCCCACUUCAAAGUCCUUUGUGCAGGAAAGGCCUCCCUCAUUUCUUAGGUUAGACACUGGAAGAAUACAGGCUCACAUCACGUAAAGUUUUCUUUUAUUCUGCUUACCACAAGUGAAAUUAAUUAUUUGAAUGUAAGCCUUAUUCAUCCAACAGAUAUCCUCUGAGAUCUUAAUGUGGCCUACAUGUUGGGACUACCACACAGGAAGACAGAGUCUCUGCCCAUGGAGCUCGUGAGUGAGGCAGUGAGCAAGAAGCAAAUAUAGGGAUGCCUGGGUGGCUCAGCAGUUAAGCAUCUGCCGUUGGCUCAGGGUGUGAUCACGCAUUCCUAGGAUCGAGUCCCACGUCAAGCUCCCUGCAUAGGGCCUGCUUCUCCCUCUGCCUGUGUCUCUGCCUCUCUCUUUCUCUCUCUCAUAAAUAAGUGUCCCCCAUGAAUAAGUAAAUAAAAUCUCUUUUUAAAAAAAGAAGGAAAUAUAGAUGCGAUAUAAUGUCAGACAGUGAGAAAGACUCGGGACAGUAGUUAAACUGGGUAAGGGGACAGAGAGAGCUGAAGAUAAGUUGGGAAUGAUAAGAGGGAAAGCCUUUGGUUGUUUCAUUCGCGGAGAAUUCCGAUGCCCAACACAAUGCCCCGCAUCUACAAAAGUACCUGACAAAUAUUUGCUGAAUGAAAAUCAUGUUGGUUCAAGUAGAUCUGAAGGAGCAAAGGGUUGAAUAAGGCUAAUCCAGUUAUGCCUGCUUCUCCCCAAGUUCCCUGACUGUAUCCAGGACAAUGUCUGCCUGUGUGUUCACCCCACAUUCUGUAGGAAUCCACGUCAAACCUAAGUCCCUGUUAGAGUUGACUAUAAUCACACCUUUUGUGUGGUAGCGUCGCACAUUUUCUUCUUAAUUGCCCUGGGCAAAAAGGCAACUGGUUGGUGAAUGAAAUAUUUAUGCUUUGAAGAAUUGAUGUUCUAAUCAGUUCUAUUUAUACCAAUGAUCAACCAUUUCUCAGUGAGGAGGAGGAGAAAUUUUUUCUGUGAUCUCUGUGCGUCGAAGUGACUAAUGAAGUCAAUCUGGGCUUGGCAGAUUUUGCCACAACUUGGACAGACGUAGCCCUCAUGAUGUUGUGUUGCUUCUCAGCUUGCUGGUGCUCUGGUUCCCAUUGCAAUGAUCUCAUAUUUUGGCAUCUUCCUUUCAAAGUCUUAUCUUCCCAUUUUGCAUGAUGGCUCAGGCUUAAGGCACCACCUACCACUUUUCUUUCAACCAACCUUGUCUUCAUAACAAAUAUUCUGAAGACCAAACAUACCCUAUUAGUUUUAUUGUGUUUCAAUUUUGGUGGAAUGGGGAAAGAGGGAAGUUCAUGCUCUCACAAUUUUCUUCUUUAGUCUGAAUGUGAGAAUUGGACAUUGGGGCUCUGUGUGAAUUGAGAUUCAGACAAAUCGGGUCCAUUCUCUAGUCUUGGUUAAAAACAGUUUGCACAGCAUGAAGGAGAUGAGCAAUAGGAAUGGUUCCCAUUCUCUUCUGUGGAUCCUAGCACACCUUUCCUAUUGGGCUGUCACCUGGCCCCACUUCUCCCAUGAAGCAGUGUCUUUCCCUGCCCUGGGGGGCCCCUUUCUGGUUCUGCACUUUUAUAGGAGUCUAUUGCUUUGUUCACACCAGUCUUUGGACAGAAAAAAAACCAAUCAAAGUCCAUACUCUAAGUUCAUUUUGGCUCUAAUCCCCACUAUUUUGUCUGUCCCACCCCUUUCUCUCUUGUGUAUCACACUGUUUAUCUUCACAACCAGAUCCCAGACUCCCCAACAGAAAAUCACAUAGUUUCUAUCUACCCUUAACCAGCUCCCUCAACCACCUUGUGCACUAAUCAGAGGUCUUCCAAUCAUUGCUGCUCAGGGUUUUGGGUAAGAAAAAGAUCAGAAAGAAACGGAAUAUAUUUCCAGCUUCACACUCUUUCCUUCACUCUUACCAGUUUGUAAUUAUAUAUUUACUUAUCUUUUUACAUAUUGACUGCUCUCCCUUCCCUCAAGCUAUAAGCCUCAUAAAGGCUGGAAAAUGUGUCUGCUUUGUUGACCAAGGUAUGCCUGAUGCUGGCCAGAGUAAACAUGUUUAAUGAAUCUCUGUGGAAUAUAGGAGUGAAUAUAGAGAAGAAGGAGCUCAUUCAGGGUGGAUUUUCAUUUACCCUAAAGAAGUGAAAUGAAAGCAAACUUUGGUGGUUUUGUUUAACUGUGGGCGAAUUGGUAUGGACCGAGAAAUUCAAUUAACUGUAUUCAUCAAUUUUUGUUUCUGGGCUAGAAUCAUGAGACUAAAACUCCAGAAUUCUUGGUUCUACCUCUUUUGUGGCAUUAAAAAACAAAAACAAAAAAACAAAAACAAAAAAACAACCCCCCAAGCCCAAACCUUGGCAUAUUACACCACCCAGAUUUUUUUUCUUUGUCUCCAAGAAGGCUCAGCUGAACGGUAGAUUCCUCACCCAGCGCAACAAUCACAAACUCCGAAAACCUCAGCUGCCCCAGAUGAUGUCACAAAACCCUUAAGAAUGCUCACUGCUGAGUUGGGCACAGGUCCAGCAAACACAAUUCUUCCUGCCAGUUAUUCAGGGUCUUUGACAGAUUAGGUGGUCUUUUUUCUUCUUCUGCUGCGUCUUUUUUUUCCAACCUCUUAAAAGGCAGUUCAGUUUACCUCUAAGCAAGACAUUAGCUCUGGCUGCCCCAAAUAACAUUUUAAUUGAAGUCUCAGUCCAAACAAAUGCCCAGCCUCUUUAUUAACCCCAACAGUGUAAUUUUUCAACCUAAGACUGAUUCAGGGGCAAACUGUCUCACCGAGGCUGCCACGCAAUGGGACAUGGCAGUUUUCCUCAACCAGUCUCUUUUCUGACCUUGAUUUGAACCUUAAUCUCUUCUAACGAUGUUUUCUUUAUUAGCGUCUCACAGCCGUGGCACAAGACUAAUUUUCCUGGUUUUAGACUAUCAGUUUACAGAGGGAUUUCAUUCCCCUUUUUGCCCCACAAAGUAACCAAGAUUUCACGGACCUCUUUGGGAAAAGGAAGAGCUAAGAGCUAAUUUGAAAAUACAUCUACGAAAGGACAACAGAAAUGAGAUGUGAAAAAAAACUGGACGAAGAUUCUUAAUUAGUCCAUUAUUUGACACGCACGAUUUAACAUGGUAUGCUAGCAUUGUGCAUUCCCCAAAAGAACAAGGCUCUUUUUUUUUUAUCCCAAACUUUAACUCCCUCUCAUUCAUUAUAUCCCUUCUUGUCACUUUCCAUUAGCUGAUCAUGACAUCCUUUGCUGGAAGGGCGAGCAAGCAGAUUACUUCCAAACUGGUGUAAGUGACACUCAAAAGACUGGCCUAAAGGGGCUUCUGUGGCAGCAACAAGCUCCUCAGCCCCUGGAGUUGGAGAAUGUCAUUUCAAUAAUAUAUUGGAGUCCGUUGUCACAUCAUUUCUGUAGCAACUUGGCAACUUCCCAGAAGUGGCAGGAAUGGGUCUUCUACUGUGAUAGAAUCUGAUGUUAUCACGGUCACUGAUGAGAGCAGUAAUUUGUUAGUAUAGUAUAAUAAUAUAAUUAAUAAUUAUUAUUAUAGUAUAUACUAUAUAUACUAUAUACCGUGUAAUAAUAAUACUAUAUAUACUAUAUACUAUGUAAUAAUUAUUAGUAAUAGUAAGUAUACUGAAUAAUAAAAAUUCAUAUUAUUAUUAUGAACUGAGCCAAUCUAAUCCUUCUAGCUAGUGUCUUGCAUUUUACAGAUGAGGAAACUGAGGACCAAAGUAGUUAAAUAAAUUGUCCAUGGUCACACAGCUGGUAAGUAGCAGCGCUAGGGUUUUAAUCGAGGUCUGGCUGACUCCAAGCUAUGCCUCUUUUUGUUAAUGCAAGUUAUGCAUAACACACCAACUUUUAGGAGACUUCACCUAAUUUUAUUGCAACUGAGAAAUAACCCGUCAUCAGGCACUUCUGAGCAGAGGUGGGGAUAACUGAAAAAGGUAGUCAGGGAUCCAACACAGGGGAACAAACAAUGCCAAGGGAAGAAGUGCAGAAUCUGACGCUCUGAUCAGGUCAGCUCUGGGGGAGUGAACCAUUCCCAGCUCAUCAUCCCUGCCUCCGUUCCCCCAGCCCACAAGCCCUCCUCUACUUUCAAAGGUCCAACCUCAGGAAUCAUCCUCAACCCUGGAAGGGCAUCCACCUGGGAAGACCUGGAUGGUUGCAGACAAAAGGUGUAUCCUAUUCAUCCACAGCAAUGAAAUCUGAUCUGAACAGCCCUGGGACCAGUCCUGGCUGCCACUCAGACCCUCCUGCUGGCUUCUGGCCUCUCAAGCUCCUCUGUUCGUGAGAAAACAAGUCUUCAUUAACCAAAUUUUACCUUCUUUGCUUCACAUGAAGCACGUUUUAGCUUCUUUGCCCAGCAACCUUUGAAAUAUUUUGAUUCUAGAGAACAGGGAAAUACAGAGCAAUCCAUUAAGUACAAGUGACCUGCUUUUCUACUCCCAGGAGAAAAUUCAAAGUCCCAUGAUAUCUAUCUUUUAGGUUUAGGCUACACAUAUAUGCUGGGCUGUAAAACAUGGUGGUUAUAGGAUAAACUCUGAAGUCGGACCACCCAGCUUUAAGUGUAGACGCCCCCACCAACAGUGUGACCUAACCUCUCUGGAUCCGAGUUUUCUCACGUGUCAAGUACCUCCGUCAGAGAGCUGUUGUGACAAUGAUCUAAUGUGCAUGAAGUAGCUGGCCCAUGGGAAUCACGUCCUGCAUCUAGUUAUCGUUCCGUAUGUGCUGGUCAGUGUUCUCGUCUUAACUGCUGUUUUUGAUGAUGCUCCAGACUCCUUGAUUCCAAGCCUGUAUUUAAGUUCAUCCUCAGCCAUGCUUCUGUCCCUUCUCAGUCCGUGGGGCGUGAUCAGCUUCCCACUUACACCUCACUGGUGAUUUUCCAGGUCUCAGUUCCUGUCCAUUUAACCAUAACUCUUAAGUAAGUGCCUCCAGCAUCUUCUUUCCACGCCUGUGUGAUGGAUGCAUUUCUGCCUGGAUGCCCUGCUCGCCCUGCCUGAAACCGAGGCAAAGCCAGAGUGCAGCCCUCCUUGUUCUCAGUCGGCUGGACGUCCUUGAAGACAGAAGAGCUCCUUGGCACUGGAACCCUCCUGGUCUGGUGAGGGAGGGAUGAGGGAUGCUCUGAGGACACACAGCCAUCAUCCAAAACUUCCUGCGUUUGGAGCAAGGCAAGAGGUUGGACCAGAGCUUUGGAUCCACGUUGCCUGAAGGAUGGUUCAGACUGUGUGAGCGAGUCACAGAAGGGUCUCAUGGGAACAGAAAGUUUUGAGAGAGUUUACUGUUUGUGCAAGAUGACUGGUUGGGUAAAGAAGUCCAAAGUUUAUGAUCUGCAGAACAAAUAAAACCUGGGCAAAGAUGAGGAGACAGGAAUGAGAGUCUUUGGAUCACCUGACAAGUUCCCGGCAAAGCCUGUGUUCAUCCCAAGUUUUGUGAUUCCAGAGCUGGAAGCGAAGGACUCCAAGAUGGAAAAAAACACACAAUGGAAGGAGUCCAACCUACACCAGAUGUUCGUGACAGUGGGUAUGAAUAUAGUUCUCAAAGUGCUGUAAUACAUCUGUCUCUGGAGGAUUCUCUCAACGAACAAGUAGAAAUUUGAGGCACUGCAGGCAAAAAGAGUUGAACAGCCACCUUCCAUUGUAUCUUGGGAAAGUCAACCGAACUCCCCCGGAGGCUGGAGCGUUUGGGGAGUGAUUUAUCAGGAGAGCAGAGCCCUCGUGAAUGGCAUCAGUGACCUUCUCAGGGACCCCAGACAGAACCCUCAUCCCUCCUGCCAUGGGAAGAUGCAGUGAGAAGUCUGCCAUUUCUGAACCAGUUUUAUUUAUUCAUGACAGACAGAGAGAGAGGCAGAGACACAGGCAGAGGGAGAAGCCGGCUCCAUGCAGGGACCCUGGUGUGGGACUAGAACCUGGGUCUCCAGGAUCACACCCCAGGCCGAAGGUGGCGCUAAACCACUGGGCCACCAGGGCUGCACCCCCACAUACUUCAGAUGAAACUCCAAACUCAUUAGCUUGGCAGGUCACUGGAGGGCAUUUUCAAGAAUAAGUAAUGACCUGUGAAAUGUCACUGACAGCAGCAACAAUAACAACCCAAAGACAGCAAUGGGAAGGAGGGAGAAUGCUGGGGCUUGCAGUCUCCUGCCCACCCCUGGACAGCCUCAGUAUGGCCAAGUAGAACUGAUCCUGCAUUUCUGAGAAAAAUGCCACCCAGACUUCCUCCUCUUGUGUCACAUAGCUCGCUGCCAUCCUCUGCCCUGGCAGACAGGAGGCCUGGAGAAGAUGGGGAGUUUGGGGCACUGCCUGUAUCCACACCAGCCACCACCACUCAGCAGUAGCAAUGGAUGUAGAAGAUCACACCAAGGUGAAGAACCCCUCCUGAACCCGAACUGAUUUCAGCUCCACCAGCAGAGCAGACCACACAGAGGGAGACAAGUCUGCGACCCUUGCCAGCGGAAGCUGCUGGUGGAUGUACUACACAGAGCUGAGAGCUGAGGAGUGGUGAUGUUGGGGGGGCCUGGGGAGCCGGCUCUUGGAUAGCACUUUGCAGAGGGAUUGGAUGGUCUCCAACAUCUAGAAGGGUUGCAAGUGAGAUGAAAGGAGAGAUUUCUGCCUGAGAGGAAGAAGCAUGGCACACACAGGUCCCUGGAGAAGAGAGAGAAAAUGGAAGGCACCCAAGGACAGAUGCUUCUCAUGAAGAGGUGUUUAGCUCUUCCAGUGGAGAGGGAGGUGUGUGUUGUGAGCAGAAGAAGCACAUCUCAUCUGUGUAAAAGUGCCCAGAGUUAGAACUCUCCUAAAGUGCUUUGGAACACAAGAGAAAACAGUAUAUACCUUCCAAGUGACAGAAGAGGGACUGGUAGGUGACGCAACUUGCUAAAUCUUUUUCACUGUUCAUGGCUGCCACUGCUGGGGGAAUUGACUUAAAGAAAUGGAUGGCUUCUGUGUGUUUUUGUCCAUUUUGACUUGUAGUACAAGUUUUUCUUUUUUUUUCAGGGGUACUGUGGACUAACUUGUGUCCUCCUAAAACUCAUGUUAAGCCCUAAUCCCCAAUGUGACUGUAUUUGGAGUAAAAUUAAGUAAUUAAGGUUAAAUACGGUCCUAGAGGUGGCACCUUGCUCUAAUAAGAUUAGCGUCCUAAUGAGAAGAGAUACCAGGGAGCUCCUACUCCCUUGCCAUCAUGUGAGAACACACAGCGAGAAGGCUGCCAUCUGCAAGCUGGGAGAGGGCUCUCUCCAGAAACAGGACCUGCUGGCACCUCGAUCUGGAAUUCCCCAUCUUCAGAACCAUAAGAAAAUAAAUUCCUGUGUUUAAGCAUGGUCUGUGGUAUUUGGGUAUGUCAGUCUGAGCAGACUAAGAAAGGAGAAAAAAAAAAAAGAAAUGUUCUAAAUAUCUGUAAGCUCAGUCUCCCAUAAGCUGUGCUCAGAGAAGAUUGUAAAGUGGAAGACUGUAAAACUUUGGCUUUCUUUAUGGAGGCUGAGGGAUUAUCCUCAACUGCUCCAACUAAGCCCCAAUGUUUGUAUUCGGGAGGUCAAAAUUUAUUAUGAAAAGCCUGGAUACGUUUUUGAAAAUAAAAAAUUGCUGUACAGAAAGUAGCACUGUAAAAGCAGAGAGUGAAUAAAAGAUGAGAGAAGGAACCUAAGGGGGAAAAAAUCCUAUAGCUAGUAAAGAGUAGAAUGCUUGGGCCAACGUUAGUACUGAGUAUUGACUUAAAAAAAAUCCAUGUUUUCUAAAACCAACUCCAAAUGGAAUCAUAUAAACCCAAAUACUAGAAUCAGGGGAAUUUUCUAGUGAGGGAGAACAUUUUGAUAAUAUUAGUAAUUUAGUUUUCUCAUAAGGAAAUAAAAAGGAAAUUAAUUCAAUGAUUUGUUAUGAAUAGUUACAAAAAUGUACAGUUCCAGAGAUUAGUGGGGAAUACAGUUCCUGCUAGAGGCAGCAAUUCUCUGUUCUGCUGAAGGGGAUGAGUGAUAAUAUUUUAUUUGUGUUUGAGGUGGAAGAGGGGAAUGGGAAGCUCUCUGGCUCCCGUCCUCUUGUCCUGGAAAAAGUACACACAUAUGUGGGAUAUAUUUCCUGCUUUCUUGCCUUAUUGAUUUUCCGUUUUCUUCUUUUAUUCCUUUGGUAAUAUUUGCUUGAAAAUUUUUCCAUCUUUAUUGAGAUACAAUUGACGUGUAAUAUUGUGUUCUUAAUGUACAACAUGAUGAUUUGAUCUGUAUAUAUUGCAAUGUGAUUACAGCAAUA